GGGUUGUGAGGUUAAGCGACUAAGCGUACACGGUGGAUGCCCUGGCAGUCAGAGGCGAUGAAGGACGUGCUAAUCUGCGAAAAGCGUCGGUAAGGUGAUAUGAACCGUUAUAGCCGGCGAUGUCCGAAUGGGGAAACCCAGUGCAAUUCGUUGCACUAUCGUUAACUGAAUACAUAGGUUAACGAGGCGAACCGGGGGAACUGAAACAUCUAAGUACCCCGAGGAAAAGAAAUCAACCGAGAUUCCCCCAGUAGCGGCGAGCGAACGGGGAGCAGCCCAGAGUCUGAAUCAGCUUGUGUGUUAGUGGAACGGUCUGGAAAGUCCGACGGUACAGGGUGAUAGUCCCGUACACCAAAAUGCACAGGCUGUGAACUCGAAGAGUAGGGCGGGACACGUGGUAUCCUGUCUGAAUAUGGGGGGACCAUCCUCCAAGGCUAAAUACUCCUGACUGACCGAUAGUGAACCAGUACCGUGAGGGAAAGGCGAAAAGAACCCCGGCGAGGGGAGUGAAAAAGAACCUGAAACCGUGUACGUACAAGCAGUGGGAGCACCUUCGGGUGUGACUGCGUACCUUUUGUAUAAUGGGUCAGCGACUUAUAUUCUGUAGCAAGGUUAACCGUAUAGGGGAGCCGCAGGGAAACCGAGUCUUAACUGGGCGUUAAGUUGCAGGGUAUAGACCCGAAACCCGGUGAUCUAGCCAUGGGCAGGUUGAAGGUUGGGUAACACUAACUGGAGGACCGAACCGACUAAUGUUGAAAAAUUAGCGGAUGACUUGUGGCUGGGGGUGAAAGGCCAAUCAAACCGGGAGAUAGCUGGUUCUCCCCGAAAGCUAUUUAGGUAGCGCCUCGUGAACUCAUCUUCGGGGGUAGAGCACUGUUUCGGCUAGGGGGUCAUCCCGACUUACCAACCCGAUGCAAACUACGAAUACCGAAGAAUGUUAUCACGGGAGACACACGGCGGGUGCUAACGUCCGUCGUGAAGAGGGAAACAACCCAGACCGCCAGCUAAGGUCCCAAAGUCAUGGUUAAGUGGGAAACGAUGUGGGAAGGCACAGACAGCCAGGAUGUUGGCUUAGAAGCAGCCAUCAUUUAAAGAAAGCGUAAUAGCUCACUGGUCGAGUCGGCCUGCGCGGAAGAUGUAACGGGGCUAAACCAUGCACCGAAGCUGCGGCAGCGACACUAUGUGUUGUUGGGUAGGGGAGCGUUCUGUAAGCCUGCGAAGGUGACCUGUGAGGGUUGCUGGAGGUAUCAGAAGUGCGAAUGCUGACAUAAGUAACGAUAAAGCGGGUGAAAAGCCCGCUCGCCGGAAGACCAAGGGUUCCUGUCCAACGUUAAUCGGGGCAGGGUGAGUCGACCCCUAAGGCGAGGCCGAAAGGCGUAGUCGAUGGGAAACAGGUUAAUAUUCCUGUACUUGGUGUUACUGCGAAGGGGGGACGGAGAAGGCUAUGUUAGCCGGGCGACGGUUGUCCCGGUUUAAGCAUGUAGGCUGGUUGUCCAGGCAAAUCCGGAUAAUCAAGGCUGAGGUGUGAUGACGAGGCACUACGGUGCUGAAGUAACAAAUGCCCUGCUUCCAGGAAAAGCCUCUAAGCAUCAGGUAACAUUAAAUCGUACCCCAAACCGACACAGGUGGUCAGGUAGAGAAUACCAAGGCGCUUGAGAGAACUCGGGUGAAGGAACUAGGCAAAAUGGUGCCGUAACUUCGGGAGAAGGCACGCUGGUGUGUAGGUGAAGUCCCUGCGGAUGGAGCUGAGACCAGUCGAAGAUACCAGCUGGCUGCAACUGUUUAUUAAAAACACAGCACUGUGCAAACACGAAAGUGGACGUAUACGGUGUGACGCCUGCCCGGUGCCGGAAGGUUAAUUGAUGGGGUUAUCCGUAAGGAGAAGCUCUUGAUCGAAGCCCCGGUAAACGGCGGCCGUAACUAUAACGGUCCUAAGGUAGCGAAAUUCCUUGUCGGGUAAGUUCCGACCUGCACGAAUGGCGUAAUGAUGGCCAGGCUGUCUCCACCCGAGACUCAGUGAAAUUGAACUCGCUGUGAAGAUGCAGUGUACCCGCGGCAAGACGGAAAGACCCCGUGAACCUUUACUAUAGCUUGACACUGAACAUUGAGCCUUGAUGUGUAGGAUAGGUGGGAGGCUUUGAAGCGUGGACGCCAGUCUGCGUGGAGCCAACCUUGAAAUACCACCCUUUAAUGUUUGAUGUUCUAACGUUGGCCCCUUACCGGGGUUGCGGACAGUGUCUGGUGGGUAGUUUGACUGGGGCGGUCUCCUCCUAAAGCGUAACGGAGGAGCACGAAGGUUAGCUAAUCCUGGUCGGACAUCAGGAGGUUAGUGCAAUGGCAUAAGCUAGCUUGACUGCGAGCGUGACGGCGCGAGCAGGUGCGAAAGCAGGUCAUAGUGAUCCGGUGGUUCUGAAUGGAAGGGCCAUCGCUCAACGGAUAAAAGGUACUCCGGGGAUAACAGGCUGAUACCGCCCAAGAGUUCAUAUCGACGGCGGUGUUUGGCACCUCGAUGUCGGCUCAUCACAUCCUGGGGCUGAAGUAGGUCCCAAGGGUAUGGCUGUUCGCCAUUUAAAGUGGUACGCGAGCUGGGUUUAGAACGUCGUGAGACAGUUCGGUCCCUAUCUGCCGUGGGCGCUGGAGAAUUGAGGGGGGCUGCUCCUAGUACGAGAGGACCGGAGUGGACGCAUCACUGGUGUUCGGGUUGUCAUGCCAAUGGCACUGCCCGGUAGCUAAAUGCGGAAGAGAUAAGUGCUGAAAGCAUCUAAGCACGAAACUUGCCCCGAGAUGAGUUCUCCCUGAGACUUUAAGUCUCCUGAAGGAACGUUGAAGACGACGACGUUGAUAGGCCGGGUGUGUAAGCGCAGCGAUGCGUUGAGCUAACCGGUACUAAUGAACCGUGAGGCUUAACCUUACAACGCCGAAG
rnacentral:rRNA from 1 species